rnacentral:rRNA from 1 species
GGGGAAUAUUGCGCAAUGGGGGAAACCCUGACGCAGCAAUACCGCGUGAGUGAAGAAGGUUUUCGGAUCGUAAAGCUCUGUUGUAAGGGAAGAACCAGUACGUCAGGCAAUGGACGUACCUUGACGGUACCUUAUUAGAAAGCCACGGCUAACUACGUGCCAGCAGCCGCGGUAAUACGUAGGGGACAAGCGUUGUCCGGAUUUACUGGGCGUAAAGGGCACGCAGGCGGUUUUUUAAGUCAGAUGUGAAAGGUACCGGCUCAACCGGUGACAUGCAUUUGAAACUGAAAGACUUGAGUAUUGGAGAGGCAAGUGGAAUUCCUAGUGUAGCGGUGAAAUGCGUAGAUAUUAGGAGGAACACCGGUGGCGAAGGCGGCUUGCUGGACAAAUACUGACGCUGAGGUGCGAAAGCGUGGGGAGCAAACA